CACGUAGGGCGCAAGCGUUGUCCGGAAUUAUUGGGCGUAAAGAGCUCGUAGGCGGACUGUCACGUCUGCUGUGAAAAGCCGGGGCUUAACCCUGGCCUUGCAGUGGAUACGGGCAGACUAGAGGUAGGUAGGGGAGAGUGGAAUUCCCGGUGUAGCGGUGAAAUGCGCAGAUAUCGGGAGGAACACCGGUGGCGAAGGCGGUUCUCUGGGCCUUAACUGACGCUGAGGAGCGAAAGCGUGGGGAGCGAACAGG
rnacentral:rRNA from 1 species